GCGAGUCCCUCUGCCCUGCUACGGUAGUAGAAGAAACCCAUUGAUUCUUCCUCUCAACACAUGUGGGAAAACUGCUGAUACUUCCUCUCUGGUGUGAGUACGACUGGGUGACGGUGAGCGAGGUUGGGACUUCGACACCCACCGAGAGGCUCUGCGGAGACUGGAGCACCAAAUUGAAACUCCUGAGAUAUGUCAGUAGCGGCAACCGUGUGGUUCUUACCUUCGUCAGUGAUUACGCUCACGACUUCCCGGGGUUCCGGGCGAGGGUGUCAGCGCGCACUGGAAGCGGGUGUGGAGACGGUCGUGAGGUCCGACAUGGGGAUGUGUGCUACCUGCUGGUUUCCUACCCACAGGUGACAUGGACAACAGCAACACACAUCUGCUCAGAUAUGGAGGGAAGCCUGGCGAGUGUGAGCAGCAGGAAUGUGUUGAGGUGGCUGGGUUCGGGACUUCUCUCCCUGUCUGACUACGCUGCAGGUACCCUCUACUGGCUUGGUGGCACUUUACACCCCUACACCCACACUUGGACCUGGCAGGAUGGCACCAUACUUAAUACCACAGGUAUGCCCUACACCUGCAGCCCUACACACUUCCCUGUAGCAAAUAGGAUGACAGUAUGAUCCUUACGGUGGGUUUACUGUUUCAACCAUUAAUGUAAUCUGGUUAUAGUAAGCAUAUCAGGUACCACCGAUCUC